rnacentral:lncRNA from 1 species
UGUUCUCUGUUUUGUGGGCUGAAUAUUUUUGAGCAGGGAUGGCAUUAUUUAGAGCUUUUUAUUGGUAGCCUACUGAGUGCUCAAACCUGUGCUAGUCCCUAUAGGGAAUAUGGAAAGACUUCUUGGAGCCAUUAUUAUGCUAGUGUCCAUUGUGAUGCUCCUGGCAAGGGCAUUCUCCUAUUCCUAUGACCACAGAGCUUCCCCUUCCCCUUUGCCCUGAAGAUUCUCUCAUGGGACUAGUGUUUCAUUGAAUAACAUGUUGGUUAUGUGUAGCAUGCUGGUUACGUGUAGCAUGCUGGUUAUGUGUAGCAUGCUGGUUAUGUGUGGCAUGCUGGUUACGUGUAGUGUGCUGGUUACGCGUAGCAUCCUGGUUAUGUGAGGCAUGCUGGUUAGGAGCUCUAGGCUCAGGAUCUUGAUUCUGCCCUCUUUGGUUGCAUGAGCUGUGCAAGCUGCUUAACAUCUUUCAGGCUAACUUUCUAUAUUUGUAAAAUGGGAAACAGACUUCUUAGGAAGAUUUUAAGAGAUGUCUUACAGGACCUGGCAGAUAUAUGCUCAAUAAAAAGUAAACUAGCUGGUGUUGCUGCUGUUGCUCUUACUGUUGUUUUUAUUGACUUGAAUAAAGGAAUCUUGCACCUGUCAAAAUGAAACACUACAUAGUAGGUCCUGAUAUUUUGCCAUACUCAGCUGGUGAUAAGAAUCAGAGAAGCCAGCCAUUUGAAUAACUAUGAUUUAUUGAAUUCUUACCAUGUUCUAAGUUCUUUAUGUAUACUGUUUCGUUUAAUCUUCACAACAAUUCUAGGAGUCAGGUUCAAUUGUUAUUGCCAUUUGAUAGAUGAUGAGGGCAAUGAGUCUUAGAGAGGUUAAAUAAUUUGCUAAAGGCCACACAGCCUGUAAAGUGGCAGAAGCUGGGACCAUCCAACUCUAAAGCCCACAUUCUUAGACAUUAGGGGAUAUUGAAUGAAGUGUGUGUAUGUAUGGGGGAAUUUAAGAGAAUAUCAAACCAUUUGUAGAGUUCUACCCAAUAUAGAGACCUUAUCUAAUGUAAGAGAACUCUGAAGACAUCUCAUUGAUUGAAUGCUCUCCCCUUCAUAGCAACUUCUUCUGCGGCUUCCUUGCCUGGUGCUCCAGUCUUUGAGGGAAGCACGGCUGGCACGUUCUUCCGUUUGGAGACAUGGUUGACAAUUUCUCCAUAAUGGGGACACAACUGGCAAUUUUCCUACAGAGUGAGGCAGAUGGCAAUUUUCCUUCAGAGACAUGCAGGCAACAGUUUUGCCCCUGGAGAGAAAAGCCUCGCCGAUUGAGAUGCAGCCAGUAAUUUUUACUAUACAGAAGACACAUCCAAUAAUUUUGCCCAGUGAGAGAAACGGCCAACAAUUUUCCCACAGAGGACAGGAAAAACAGACCAAAAAUUCAUAGUGGGGAGAAGUGAGGAGCAAAUGGGCUGGUAUGACCAAGAAAGACUUAAUAAGAAGCUGAGCCUUAAAUGAUCAAGAAGCACUGGAUAGAUAAGAGGAAUAAUCAUUUAUUAGCCAAGCGGGACUGGUGCCUUUUUGAGAACUGUCAUUCUGGAAAGAUAUUGAUUGAAGGAGGCCUCUGAGCACAUUCUCUCCAGCAGGCAGCCGUAAGGGAGGCGGCUGCAGUCCAGACAAGAUGAUGAGUUGGCAGUGAGCAUCUCGACAGGAGCCUAAUGAAGAAAUCUGGUAACAGCGAGGGCUGGCUUUAUGAGCGCUCAUAUUUGGUCUUUCACUCUCUGCAAGGUUGGUGAGUGGCAAAAGUGUCCAUGGGCCUCUACCUCCCACUGUGGAAUUACACAUUCCUACAGCCAGUGGGCUCCGGGAACCCAAUGGCAGCAUCCCCAGGCCCCUGGGCCCACUCCACACAUCACAGGCUAGAGACUUCUUGUCUGCCUCCUUUCUCACGUCUCUCCCCCUGAGAUAGCAUGCUCUCCCCUCCCUCCUUCCCUCUCAUAAUUUGUUCCCAACAGGUAGCUUUGUGCAGUUACUCCAAGAGAAGCCCGAACUCCCUGGGGAGCCUCUGCCCAGGUGGAAGAGCUCUCGAGUGGCUAUUAUUAGGGGUGAUUGCUGGGAAGCUGGUUGCCAUGGCACCGCAGAGGCCAGUGCUGAACUCCCAAGCUGCCCCGUUUCCAAGGCUGUCUACAUAAUCACUGCAAUGAGAGGCACAGGCACAGAAAGGGAGAGAGGAGCAGCUCCCCACUGACAGUGAUCUCCCUGCAGAGCAAGGUUCCUGGAGUUUGCAAACAUCGAGUAGUGAUAGUCUUCCAUCUGCCAGGCACUGCGCUAAACUCUUUAUGGAGACAAAGAAAUGAUGCUCAGAGAGUCAUUUGCCCUUGGUCACAGGCUAAGAAGAGGCAGAGCUAGGACGUAAACCCAACUCUGGCUCUAUGGCAUCUCAUAUAGCAUCAUUUUUCCUCCAGUCCUCUGACUAGAAAGGGUGGCCCCUUCAACCUGGUGCUGAGAACAGACACUGGCGGCCCCACACCUCUGAAGGCAUGGUUCCAGCAAAUAGAAAUUGGACUGGCAAGGAUUAAACCGCUGGUUUGGGCUUCAUUAGCUAUGUGAUCUCACCAACCACAGAGAAUUAACCAGAGUGGAGCCAUCUCUUUACAGACUUAACACAAUGUACCGAGGCAAUGUGGAGAACAGUCACUGAAUUUAUUGAGCACCUACUACCUGCUCCAGACAUGCCAUUAACACGUGGGCUAUCCUUCCCUUCCACAGUCACUCUAGAACUUGAGGCCACUGUCCUCUGAUGCAGAGAGAAGAAACAUUUUAUAAUCACUGUAGACAAUAAAGGCUUUAUCUGUUAGCAA